AUAUGGGUAGGCCGGGCGGUUCGGGGUCGCCUGUAACCUGAAAUCCUCUACAUGCAGUGGGCCGAAAACCAGUGCGAGGAGUUUCUUCGACGGUUCCGGCCCUUUCCUGGGCUGUCGAUGAUCCGUCCUCCGGGAUGUCGCAGGUUGUGAAUCGGGUCAGGCCUUGACGGGAGCAGCCCUAAGCAGUCUGUGGCAUGUUCGGAGGGUGGCGGAUCUGAGGUCCGGGAAAGGAUUCACCGGCCGUUGAAGAGCUUCCAGCACUGGGAACCCGCUG
rnacentral:SRP_RNA from 1 species